rnacentral:tRNA from 1 species
UCCCGGGUCGUCUAAUGGCAGGACACCAGUUUCUGGCACUGGUAAUCGGGGUUCGAGUCCCUGCCCGGGAACCA